rnacentral:rRNA from 1 species
UACGUAGGUGGCAAGCGUUGUCCGGAUUUACUGGGUGUAAAGGGCGUGUAGCCGGGUUGACAAGUCAGAUGUGAGAUCCUGCGGCUUAACCGCAGAACUGCAUUAGAAACUGUUGAUCUUGAGUACUGGAGAGGCAGACGGAAUUCCUAGUGUAGCGGUGAAAUGCGUAGAUAUUAGGAGGAACACCAGUGGCGAAGGCGGUCUGCUGGACAGCAACUGACGGUGAGGCGCGAAAGCGUGGGGAGCAAACAGG